CCUACGGGUGGCAGCAGUGAGGAAUAUUGGUCAAUGGGCGAGAGCCUGAACCAGCCAAGUCGCGUGAAGGAUGACGGCCCUACGGGUUGUAAACUUCUUUUGUCAGGGAGCAAGUGGGGCCACGCGUGGGCUUAGCGAGAGGACCUGAAGAAAAAGCAUCGGCAAACUCCGUGCCAGCAGCCGCGGUAAUACGGAGGGGGCGAGCGUUGUUCGGAGUGACGGGGGGAAAAGGGCACGUAGGCGGUGUUGUAAGUCAUUAGUCAACGACUAGGGCUCAACUUUAGUAAGGCUAGUGAUACUCUCAUACUUGAGUAUCAGAGAGGAUUGCGGAAUGCCUGGUGUAGCGGU
rnacentral:rRNA from 1 species